GAUGAACGCUGGCGGCGUGCCUAAUACAUGCAAGUCGAGCGAACGGACGAGAAGCUUGCUUCUCUGAUGUUUGCGGCGGACGGGUGAGUAACACGUGGAUAACCUACCUAUAAGACUGGGAUAACUUCGGGAAACCGGAGCUAAUACCGGAUGAUAUUUUGAACCGCAUGGUUCAAAAGUGAAAGACGGUCUUGCUGUCACUUAUAGAUGGAUCCGCGCUGCAUUAGCUAGUUGGUAAGGUAACGGCUUACCAAGGCAACGAUGCAUAGCCGACCUGAGAGGGUGAUCGGCCACACUGGAACUGAGGCACGGUCCAGACUCCUACGGGAGGCAGCAGUAGGGAAUCUUCCGCAAUGGGCGAAAGCCUGACGGAGCAACGCCGCGUGAGUGAUGAAGGUCUUCGGAUCGUAAAACUCUGUUAUUAGGGAAGAACAUAUGUGUAAGUAACUGUGCACAUCUUGACGGUACCUAAUCAGAAAGCCACGGCUAACUACGUG
rnacentral:rRNA from 1 species